ACAAACAAAUAGAUAACAAAACACCUGUAUUCCCACAGGCUGUGUAUGACUUGACGUGGGAAAUCCUCCGGGAAAUCUAUGCCGAAGACCCCAAUGCCAAUCAGCCCGAGUGGGUUAAACCACAGCGAAUCCGACCCGCCUUUUCCCACAGAGUCAAGAUGCCAGGAGACAUCAAUAAAGUACAGGAAUUUGUCACAGAAGAAGUUCUAAAACUUUACGGUUUGACCA